rnacentral:rRNA from 1 species
GCAAGUCGAGCGGACCGACGGGAGCUUGCUCCCUUAGGUCAGCGGCGGACGGGUGAGUAACACGUGGGUAACCUGCCUGUAAGACUGGGAUCACUCCGGGAAACCGGGGCUAAUACCGGAUGCUUGAUUGAACCGCAUGGUUCAAUCAUGAAAGGCGGCUUCGGCUGCCGUUUACAGAUGGACCCGCGGCGCAUUAGCUAGUUGGUGAGGUAACGGCUCACCAAGGCGACGAUGCGUAGCCGACCUGAGAGGGUGAUCGGCCACACUGGGACUGAGACACGGCCCAGACUCCUACGGGAGGCAGCAGUAGGGAAUCUUCCGCAAUGGACGAAAGUCUGACGGAGCAACGCCGCGUGAGUGAUGAAGGUUUUCGGAUCGUAAAGCUCUGUUGUUAGGGAAGAACAAGUACCGUUCGAAUAGGGCGGUACCUUGACGGUACCUAACCAGAAAGCCACGGCUAACUACGUGCCAGCAGCCGCGGUAAUACGUAGGUGGCAAGCGUUGUCCGGAAUUAUUGGGCGUAAAGCGCGCGCAGGCGGUUUCUUAAGUCUGAUGUGAAAGCCCCCGGCUCAACCGGGGAGGGUCAUUGGAAACUGGGGAACUUGAGUGC